rnacentral:rRNA from 1 species
GAUGAACGCUGGCGGCGUGCCUAAUACAUGCAAGUCGAGCGAACGGACGAGAAGCUUGCUUCUCUGAUGUUAGCGGCGGACGGGUGAGUAACACGUGGAUAACCUACCUAUAAGACUGGGAUAACUUCGGGAAACCGGAGCUAAUACCGGAUAAUAUUUUGAACCGCAUGGUUCAAAAGUGAAAGACGGUCUUGCUGUCACUUAUAGAUGGAUCCGCGCUGCAUUAGCUAGUUGGUAAGGUAACGGCUUACCAAGGCAACGAUGCAUAGCCGACCUGAGAGGGUGAUCGGCCACACUGGAACUGAGACACGGUCCAGACUCCUACGGGAGGCAGCAGUAGGGAAUCUUCCGCAAUGGGCGAAAGCCUGACGGAGCAACGCCGCGUGAGUGAUGAAGGUCUUCGGAUCGUAAAACUCUGUUAUUAGGGAAGAACAUAUGUGUAAGUAACUGUGCACAUCUUGACGGUACCUAAUCAGAAAGCCACGGCUAACUACGUGCCAGCAGCCGCGGUAAUACGUAGGUGGCAAGCGUUAUCCGGAAUUAUUGGGCGUNAAGCGCGCGUAGCGGUUUUUUAGUCUGAUGUGAAAGCCCACGGCUCAACCGUGGAGGGUCAUUGGAAACUGGAAAACUUGAGUGCAGAAGAGGAAAGUGGAAUUCCAUGUGUAGCGGUGAAAUGCGCAGAGAUAUGGAGGAACACCAGUGGCGAAGGCGACUUUCUGGUCUGUAACUGACGCUGAUGUGCGAAAGCGUGGGGAUCAAACAGGAUUAGAUACCCUGGUAGUCCACGCCGUAAACGAUGAGUGCUAAGUGUUAGGGGGUUUCCGCCCCUUAGUGCUGCAGCUAACGCAUUAAGCACUCCGCCUGGGGAGUACGACCGCAAGGUUGAAACUCAAAGGAAUUGACGGGGACCCGCACAAGCGGUGGAGCAUGUGGUUUAAUUCGAAGCAACGCGAAGAACCUUACCAAAUCUUGACAUCCUUUGACAACUCUAGAGAUAGAGCCUUCCCCUUCGGGGGACAAAGUGACAGGUGGUGCAUGGUUGUCGUCAGCUCGUGUCGUGAGAUGUUGGGUUAAGUCCCGCAACGAGCGCAACCCUUAAGCUUAGUUGCCAUCAUUAAGUUGGGCACUCUAAGUUGACUGCCGGUGACAAACCGGAGGAAGGUGGGGAUGACGUCAAAUCAUCAUGCCCCUUAUGAUUUGGGCUACACACGUGCUACAAUGGACAAUACAAAGGGCAGCGAAACCGCGAGGUCAAGCAAAUCCCAUAAAGUUGUUCUCAGUUCGGAUUGUAGUCUGCAACUCGACUACAUGAAGCUGGAAUCGCUAGUAAUCGUAGAUCAGCAUGCUACGGUGAAUACGUUCCCGGGUCU